rnacentral:rRNA from 1 species
AGAGUUUGAUCAUGGCUCAAAACGAACGCUGGCGGCAUGCCUAACACAUGCAAGUCGAACGAAGCCUUCGGGCUUAGUGGCGCACGGGUGCGUAACACGUGGGAAUCUGCCCUUCGGUUCGGAAUAACAGUUAGAAAUGACUGCUAAUACCGGAUGAUGACGAAAGUCCAAAGAUUUAUCGCCGAAGGAUGACCCCGCGUAGGAUUAGGUAGUUGGUAGGGUAAUGGCCUACCAAGCCGACGAUCCUUAGCUGGUCUGAGAGGAUGAUCAGCCACACUGGGACUGAGACACGGCCCACACUCCUACGGGAGGCAGCAGUGGGGAAUAUUGGACAAUGGGCGAAAGCCUGAUCCAGCAAUGCCGCGUGAGUGAUGAAGGCCUUAGGGUUGUAAAGCUCUUUUACCAGGGAUGAUAAUGACAGUACCUGGAGAAUAAGCUCCGGCUAACUCCGUGCCAGCAGCCGCGGUAAUACGGAGGGAGCUAGCGUUGUUCGGAAUUACUGGGCGUAAAGCGCACGUAGGCGGUUACUCAAGUCAGAGGUGAAAGCGCGGGGCUCACCCCCGGAACUGCCUUUGAAACUAGGUGACUAGAAUCUUGGAGAGGUCAGUGGAAUUCCGAGUGUAGAGGUGAAAUUCGUAGAUAUUCAGAAGACACCAGUGGCGAAGGCGACUGACUGGACAAGUAUUGACGCUGAGGUGCGAAGCGUGGGGAGCAAACAAGAUUAGAUACCCUGUAGUCCACGCCGUAACGAUGAUAACUAGCUGUCCGAGCACUUGGUUGCUUGGGGUGGCGCAGCUAACGCAUUUAUGUUAUCCGCCUAGAGAGUACGGUCGCAAGAUUAAAACUCAAAGGAGUCGACGGCUGCUUGCACAGCGUGGAGCCUUGUGAUUUAGUACGAGCCACCGCAGAUCCUUACGUCGUGACUCUCAUCGGUAUUACAGAAGAUGGUAA